AUGAGGGAGAUUAUAUAAUGAAUUAAAGACAGAAAUUUAUUGGAAAGUUUGAAUUUAAUGUAAAAGAAACGACAUUACAUUUCCCUCUACCUAAUGUAUCUGUGAAAAUAUGAAUUUGCGUAAACGUCCACAGUCUAGUCCGCAGUCUAAUCGCUACUGGUGUAUUAGUAUUCGCAUUACUAAUUACGCAACUGCAUAAUGUACAUCAUGCAUUUGUUUGCAUUUUCAUUCCUCGUAUCGAUCAUUUCUAAAACGGAGUAGGGCAAAAUUGAAACGAUAACUCCGUAAUUAGAACAAUUCGCUCAGUGUGUAUAUAGACCAGACGUUGCUCCCUUUCUUUCUGAGCAGAGCGUGUUUCUUGAGCGGAAGAUGAUUCAACAAUUAUGACGUCAUGAAACAUGGAUGUACCAAAAGUUUUUGCAUCUAAAGAACGAGCACGGUGUUGCAGAGGAACUCGUAAAUGCUCUCGGACCAAUGGCAGAAGACCGUAGAUCAUACUUGCUUGAAUUAUGCUUGGAGAUGGUAUUGUACCUAAAUCCAGCCGAUUAUUUCUGUACCUUUAAUGCGCGUAUGACAUCGAUUCGAUAUAAUACACGCGCUCAUUACACGUGUAAAAGAAACAAAAAAGACGUUCGAUGAACGGGAUUCGAACCGGCGAGAUCAAGCACAUGACCGGCCGAUUAUACCAUCUGCGGCACGGACACUACGGUGACAGAGAUUGAUAUUUAUAGGACGCACAGACAUUUAUAGUAUAUACUUUAACCAAAGUAUUAUAAAUUACUUACUAAAUUUAUUAUUUUACCCUGUAGAGACCCGAGGACUACUAACCUACUUCUGCAGGUUAAAAACAGAGAAGGACAGACCGAAUAAUUUUCUUUGUGCAUGAUGUACAUUAUGUAUUAGGUUGUCCGAAAAGUUUCUUUCGCUUUAUUAAUAAGUAAAACAUGCACAAUGUUCUAUGCUUUAUGUUACAUUACUGAAUUGUGCGCGAUUCAUUUUGCUCCAUUACCGUUACGACAUGAAUAUUUAUGAAACAAAGUCGGUUAAUUAGAUUGUUUAUAUAAACACGACCACAUAAAAUAAUCGAAUGCAACUCGCGAAAGAAACUUUCGGGACAACCUAAUAAAAUCAUGGUAGCAAGGAUGUUUCCUUCGAUCUUGGAGAAAUGGACGAUUUUAAAAUAACCUGUUUCGUAUUUCGAAUCGAUCCUUUGGCGAAUAUCAACGUUACUCUUGUGUAACAAACUGUAUGCAAAAGUGUUAAAAUAAAAUAUAAUUUGUAUCCGA